rnacentral:rRNA from 1 species
GUACGGAGGGACUAGCGUUGUUCGGAAUUACUGGGCGUAAAGCGCACGUAGGCGGAUUUGUAAGUCAGGGGUGAAAUCCCGGGGCUCAACCUCGGAACUGCCUUUGAUACUGCAAAUCUCGAGUCCGGAAGAGGUGAGUGGAAUUCCUAGUGUAGAGGUGAAAUUCGUAGAUAUUAGGAAGAACACCAGUGGCGAAGGCGGCUCACUGGUCCGGUACUGACGCUGAGGAGCGAAAGCGUGGGGAGCGAACAGG